AGUGAACGCUGGCGGUAGGCCUAACACAUGCAAGUCGAACGGCAGCACAGUAAGAGCUUGCUCUUACGGGUGGCGAGUGGCGGACGGGUGAGGAAUACAUCGGAAUCUACUUUUUCGUGGGGGAUAACGUAGGGAAACUUACGCUAAUACCGCAUACGACCUACGGGUGAAAGCAGGGGAUCUUCGGACCUUGCGCGAUUGAAUGAGCCGAUGUCGGAUUAGCUAGUUGGCGGGGUAGAGGCCCACCAAGGCGACGAUCCGUAGCUGGCCUGAGAGGAUGAUCAGCCACACUGGAACUGAGACACGGUCCAGACUCCUACGGGAGGCAGCAGUGGGGAAUAUUGGACAAUGGGCGCAAGCCUGAUCCAGCCAUACCGCGUGGGUGAAGAAGGCCUUCGGGUUGUAAAGCCCUUUUGUUGGGAAAGAAAAGCAGCAGGUUAAUACCCCGCUGUUCUGACGGUACCCAAAGAAUAAGCACCGGCUAACUUCGUG
rnacentral:rRNA from 1 species